UUGAACGCUGGCGGCAGGCCUAACACAUGCAAGUCGAGCGGUAGCACAGAGAGCUUGCUCUCGGGUGACGAGCGGCGGACGGGUGAGUAAUGUCUGGGAAACUGCCUGAUGGAGGGGGAUAACUACUGGAAACGGUAGCUAAUACCGCAUAAUGUCGCAAGACCAAAGUGGGGGACCUUCGGGCCUCAUGCCAUCAGAUGUGCCCAGAUGGGAUUAGCUAGUAGGUGGGGUAACGGCUCACCUAGGCGACGAUCCCUAGCUGGUCUGAGAGGAUGACCAGCCACACUGGAACUGAGACACGGUCCAGACUCCUACGGGAGGCAGCAGUGGGGAAUAUUGCACAAUGGGCGCAAGCCUGAUGCAGCCAUGCCGCGUGUGUGAAGAAGGCCUUCGGGUUGUAAAGCACUUUCAGCGGGGAGGAAGGCGGUGAGGUUAAUAACCUCAUCGAUUGACGUUACCCGCAGAAGAAGCACCGGCUAACUCCGUGCCAGCAGCCGCGGUAAUACGGAGGGUGCAAGCGUUAAUCGGAAUUACUGGGCGUAAAGCGCACGCAGGCGGUCUGUCAAGUCGGAUGUGAAAUCCCCGGGCUCAACCUGGGAACUGCAUUCGAAACUGGCAGGCUAGAGUCUUGUAGAGGGGGGUAGAAUUCCAGGUGUAGCGGUGAAAUGCGUAGAGAUCUGGAGGAAUACCGGUGGCGAAGGCGGCCCCCUGGACAAAGACUGACGCUCAGGUGCGAAAGCGUGGGGAGCAAACAGGAUUAGAUACCCUGGUAGUCCACGCCGUAAACGAUGUCGAUUUGGAGGUUGUGCUCUUGAGGCGUGGCUUCCGGAGCUAACGCGUUAAAUCGACCGCCUGGGGAGUACGGCCGCAAGGUUAAAACUCAAAUGAAUUGACGGGGGCCCGCACAAGCGGUGGAGCAUGUGGUUUAAUUCGAUGCAACGCGAAGAACCUUACCUGGUCUUGACAUCCACAGAACUUUCCAGAGAUGGAUUGGUGCCUUCGGGAACUGUGAGACAGGUGCUGCAUGGCUGUCGUCAGCUCGUGCUGUGAAAUGUUGGGUUAAGUCCCGCAACGAGCGCAACCCUUAUCCUUUGUUGCCAGCGGUUAGGCCGGGAACUCAAAGGAGACUGCCAGUGAUAAACUGGAGGAAGGUGGGGAUGACGUCAAGUCAUCAUGGCCCUUACGACCAGGGCUACACACGUGCUACAAUGGCAUAUACAAAGAGAAGCGACCUCGCGAGAGCAAGCGGACCUCAUAAAGUAUGUCGUAGUCCGGAUUGGAGUCUGCAACUCGACUCCAUGAAGUCGGAAUCGCUAGUAAUCGUAGAUCAGAAUGCUACGGUGAAUACGUUCCCGGGCCUUGUACACACCGCCCGUCACACCAUGGGAGUGGGUUGCAAAAGAAGUAGGUAGCUUAACCUUCGGGAGGGCGCUUACCACUUUGUGAUUCAUGACUGGGGUG
rnacentral:rRNA from 1 species